UACGUAGGGGGCAAGCGUUGUCCGGAAUCAUUGGGCGUAAAGAGCGUGUAGGCGGCCCGAUAAGUCCGCUGUGAAAGUCCAGGGCUCAACCCUGGGAUGCCGGUGGAUACUGUCGGGCUCGAGUCCGGAAGAGGAGUGUGGAAUUCCUGGUGUAGCGGUGAAAUGCGCAGAUAUCAGGAGGAACACCUGUGGCGAAAGCGGCGCACUGGACCAUAACUGACGCUGAGGCGCGAAAGCUAGGGGAGCAAACAGG
rnacentral:rRNA from 1 species